UACGUAGGGGGCUAGCGUUGUCCGGAAUCAUUGGGCGUAAAGCGCGUGUAGGCAGUCCGGUAAGUCCGCUGUGAAAGUCGGGGGCUCAACCCUCGGAUGCCGGUGGAUACUGUCGGGCUCGAGUCCGGAAGAGGCGAGUGGAAUUCCUGGUGUAGCGGUGAAAUGCGCAGAUAUCAGGAGGAACACCUAUUGCGAAGGCAGCUCGCUGGGACGUAACUGACGCUGAGACGCGAAAGCGUGGGGAGCAAACAGG
rnacentral:rRNA from 1 species